ACUCAGGAAAAGUUGUUUAUGCUCUGCAUGGCUCUUCUUUAACUUUAACAGCAUCUCUUUGGGGCUGCUCUAGCUUUGUGGUCAGCUGAAGGAUGAAGAGAAAGCCGCUUGGACAUGGAAGAGAGAAGAAUCUCCCUGAACUGAACAAAUGUGUCACUUUUGAAUAAGGAUUCAUGAAAAGGCAGAGAAGGAGAAGAAAAAAGA